GUUAUAUGGUCAAGUGAAGAAGCGCAUACGGUGGAUGCCUUGGCAGUCAGAGGCGAUGAAAGACGUUGUAGCCUGCGAUAAGCUUCGGGGAGUCGGCAAACAGACUUUGAUCCGGAGAUCUCUGAAUGGGGGAACCCACCCAGCAUAAGCUGGGUAUCAUGCACUGAAUACAUAGGUGUAUGAGGCGAACCAGGGGAACUGAAACAUCUAAGUACCCUGAGGAAAAGAAAUCAACCGAGAUUCCCUUAGUAGUGGCGAGCGAACGGGGAUUAGCCCUUAAGUUGAUUUGAGAUUAGUGGAAGGCUCUGGAAAGUGCCGCCAUAGUGGGUGAUAGCCCCGUACACGAAAAUCUCUUAUCAAUGAAAUCGAGUAGGACGGAGCACGAGAAACUUUGUCUGAAUAUGGGGGGACCAUCCUCCAAGGCUAAAUACUACUGACUGACCGAUAGUGAACCAGUACCGUGAGGGAAAGGCGAAAAGAACCCCGGAGAGGGGAGUGAAAUAGAACCUGAAACCGUAUGCGUACAAGCAGUGGGAGCCUACUUUGUUAGGUGACUGCGUACCUUUUGUAUAAUGGGUCAGCGACUUAUUUUCAGUGGCGAGCUUAACCGAAUAGGGGAGGCGUAGCGAAAGCGAGUCUUAAUAGGGCGUUUAGUCGCUGGGAAUAGACCCGAAACCGGGCGAUCUAUCCAUGGGCAGGUUGAAGGUUGGGUAACACUAACUGGAGGACCGAACCGACUACCGUUGAAAAGUUAGCGGAUGACCUGUGGAUCGGAGUGAAAGGCUAAUCAAGCUCGGAGAUAGCUGGUUCUCCUCGAAAGCUAUUUAGGUAGCGCCUCGUGUAUCACUGCUGGGGGUAGAGCACUGUUUCGGCUAGGGGGUCAUCCCGACUUACCAAACCGAUGCAAACUCCGAAUACCGGCAAGUGUCAGCACGGGAGACACACGGCGGGUGCUAACGUCCGUCGUGAAAAGGGAAACAACCCAGACCGUCAGCUAAGGUCCCAAAGUCAUGGUUAAGUGGGAAACGAUGUGGGAAGGCUUAGACAGCUAGGAGGUUGGCUUAGAAGCAGCCAUCCUUUAAAGAAAGCGUAAUAGCUCACUAGUCGAGUCGGCCUGCGCGGAAGAUGUAACGGGGCUCAAACCAUGCACCGAAGCUACGGGUUCAACGUAAGUUGAGCGGUAGAGGAGCGUUCUGUAAGCCUGUGAAGGUGAGUUGAGAAGCUUGCUGGAGGUAUCAGAAGUGCGAAUGCUGACAUGAGUAACGACAAUGCGAGUGAAAAACUCGCACGCCGAAAGACCAAGGGUUCCUGCGCAACGUUAAUCGACGCAGGGUGAGUCGGUCCCUAAGGCGAGGCUGAAGAGCGUAGUCGAUGGGAAACGGGUUAAUAUUCCCGUACUUCUGGUUACUGCGAUGGGGGGACGGAGAAGGUUAGGCCAGCUUGGCGUUGGUUGUCCAAGUUUAAGGUGGUAGGCAGGUUUCUUAGGUAAAUCCGGGAAAUCAAUGCCGAGAACUGAUGACGAGCUUUCUUUUAGAAAGUGAAGUGGUUGAUACCAUGCUUCCAGGAAAAGCCUCUAAGCUUCAGGUAAUCAGGAACCGUACCCCAAACCGACACAGGUGGUUGGGUAGAGAAUACCAAGGCGCUUGAGAGAACUCGGGUGAAGGAACUAGGCAAAAUGGCACCGUAACUUCGGGAGAAGGUGCGCCGGUGAGGGUGAAGUAUUUACUACGUAAGCCUUUGCUGGUCGAAGAUACCAGGCCGCUGCGACUGUUUAUUAAAAACACAGCACUCUGCAAACACGAAAGUGGACGUAUAGGGUGUGACGCCUGCCCGGUGCCGGAAGGUUAAUUGAUGGGGUUAGCGCAAGCGAAGCUCUUGAUCGAAGCCCCGGUAAACGGCGGCCGUAACUAUAACGGUCCUAAGGUAGCGAAAUUCCUUGUCGGGUAAGUUCCGACCUGCACGAAUGGCGUAACGAUGGCGGCGCUGUCUCCACCCGAGACUCAGUGAAAUUGAAAUCGCUGUGAAGAUGCAGUGUAUCCGCGGCUAGACGGAAAGACCCCGUGAACCUUUACUAUAGCUUUGCACUGGACUUUGAGUUUACUUGUGUAGGAUAGGUGGGAGGCUUUGAAGCGUGGACGCCAGUUCGCGUGGAGCCAACCUUGAAAUACCACCCUGGUAACCUUGAGGUUCUAACUCUGGUCCGUUAUCCGGAUCGAGGACAGUGUAUGGUGGGUAGUUUGACUGGGGCGGUCUCCUCCUAAAGAGUAACGGAGGAGUACGAAGGUGCGCUCAGACCGGUCGGAAAUCGGUCGUAGAGUAUAAAGGCAAAAGCGCGCUUGACUGCGAGACAGACACGUCGAGCAGGUACGAAAGUAGGUCUUAGUGAUCCGGUGGUUCUGUAUGGAAGGGCCAUCGCUCAACGGAUAAAAGGUACUCCGGGGAUAACAGGCUGAUACCGCCCAAGAGUUCAUAUCGACGGCGGUGUUUGGCACCUCGAUGUCGGCUCAUCACAUCCUGGGGCUGAAGCCGGUCCCAAGGGUAUGGCUGUUCGCCAUUUAAAGUGGUACGCGAGCUGGGUUUAGAACGUCGUGAGACAGUUCGGUCCCUAUCUGCCGUGGACGUUUGAGAUUUGAGAGGGGCUGCUCCUAGUACGAGAGGACCGGAGUGGACGAACCUCUGGUGUUCCGGUUGUCACGCCAGUGGCAUUGCCGGGUAGCUAUGUUCGGGAGAGAUAACCGCUGAAAGCAUCUAAGCGGGAAACUUGCCUCAAGAUGAGAUCUCACUGGAGCCUUGAGCUCCCUGAAGGGCCGUCGAAGACUACGACGUUGAUAGGCUGGGUGUGUAAGCGUUGUGAGGCGUUGAGCUAACCAGUACUAAUUGCCCGUGAGGCUUGACCAUAUAACACCCAAACA
rnacentral:rRNA from 1 species